AACCACAAACACAUAUACCCGCGCCCCCCUCCCGCUUCCAAAGUGCAGAAACGCAAUUCUCCCAAAUUCUCUCGUUCAACCCCAAAUUCACACCAUUCUUCGCUGCUGUGGUCGCUCCGUCAUGGUUGUGCCGCCGUCGCAUUCUGUUGCUGCCGUGUCACUAUCGCUCCUCACAUUCACGCCACCGUCGCUCCUCUUCCUCGCGCUGCCGUAAGAGGUGAUAAGCAAGAAAAAGAUAAUGGGAACGUCGCUGGUUUCGAACGUAAAGCGCGAGGUUUCGAUCAUGAGCAAGCUCAACCACCCAAACAUCGUGAAGCUGCACGAGGUGCUGGCGACAAAGACCAAGAUCUAUUUCGUGUUGGAGUUCGUUAAAGGCGGUGAGUUAUUUGCUAAGGUUUCGAAAGGGAGGUUCAGCGAGGAUCUCGCUCGCAAGUAUUUCCAGCAGCUUAUCUCCGCCGUAGGGUACUGCCCUCGCGCGGCGUUUUUCACCGUGAUUUGAAGCCGGAAAAUCUCUUGCUUGAUGAGAAUGGGAAUCUCAAGGUGUCCGAUUUUGGACUCAGUGCCGUCAAAGACCAGAGAAUAUAUUGAAGAAUGGUGAAUUUGAAGAAGGACCAUAUGUAUUCCCAAACACAUCAUGGGGAGUGCUAAUCCCACCCAACAUUGAAGAUAGCCACUCGCCUUUACCGGUUUGGAUGGUCGAGUUCCU